ACCUUGCGUUAGGGAUUGGAGCGGAAAGCCCGGAGCGCAGCGAGGACUUGCAGCGGAAAGCCCGACCCGAA
rnacentral:sRNA from 1 species